CACUCACUAUGCUGAAGGUCAAGAGUGGGUGCAUAAAGUAAUGCUGGCUACGUGCCACCCCAGAAUUCCACAACCCACUGCUGUCAGAGCAGCCCUCCAUCCUUGUUGUGCUGCUGCAGUGAUACAUAGGUGAUAGAUCAACAGCUGAGAAUCUGACCUCAGAACUAAGAAGGAAGCGUGCUCUUAGAAACACAGGAAAUGGAGAAAGAAGGAUCUGUUUUUCUCUGAUACCCUGGUGUAAAUAUGGAGUAAUUCCGUGACUUCACAAGAGUUACUCCUGGCUUCCACCUGUGUAAAUGGGAACCAGGCCCUUUAUGUCUAUAGAAACAUAGACUGAACGGUAAAAAUAAAUAUGACCCAAUGACUAGAGAGACACUGAUGUGGUGUAAAUAGUGCCACCUUUCACACAAAAGCUAAAAUUACUCGUUGCAAAGCUUAUCUUUUCCCUUUGUUAAGGCUGUUGUGGGGAUGGGCUGAGGUGGGUGUAUUUUGGGGCAGUCCUUUAUUGAUGUAUGUGUGACUUUAGUUUAUGGCGUAGGUGCCCAGAUCACUGGAUAUGAGCCUGUAUAGUAUUUUUAAAAUGGAAUCAAUUCUCUGCACUCGGUCAUUUAACUCUGAAACUUCCUUUGAGGCUGCCAGCCAGGCUACUAUGGCUCAGAUUGUCAAGCCACUUGCCAUCCAUGCACCAGUGGUUUUCCUUGCAGUGGUGUUACUGGACAUUGCGUAGGCACUGCCAGAGUCACUUGCAGCUUACAGUCUCAGGAUCCACGGUGCUCUCCUAGCGAAGGCUUGGAUACAGUUUAAAGGGGAGAACAGCUGGAUAGGUUUGACCUAUAAGAAAGAAGACUUCAGAUAUGUGUGGGUCGAUGGCACAUCUGCUCGGGCUGAAAGUGCAUGGGUCAUGAAACGUAACAGGAGGCAUACACUCACUAAAGAAGACUGUGUGGUUGCCUUCAAGCAAUACCUUUCCCCAGCAGAUUGUUCUUCUCUGAGAAAGUGGAUAUGCAAAAGAGAAGGAGAUGUCAACCUCUUUACAAUGCACCAGGGGAGAGCUUUGUACUCCCCUUACGUACCAACAUCAAAUAUAUAUAACACCUUAAAGAAAGCUACAGAUACCUGCUCAGUGCUCCAGACAUGCACUGGGAUAGUGGCAGUGGGGGAGCACUACAUUCUACAAAGUGGGAUGGAACUGUAUAACAGCAGGAAUAGUAGUGUGAAAUCCUUUAUCAAGUCAGAUUGCAUCUCUGGAAGAUUUGGGCUUCUGUGCGAAUUUAAGUGUCCACCAUGCCAGCAGGGUCUGGCCUGCAAUCCAUACACAGGGCUGUGUGGUGACAGUGUGUUUUGCAGUAAGGAGAA
rnacentral:lncRNA from 1 species